rnacentral:ncRNA from 1 species
CCACCGAGCGCGCCGCCAAUGCCGGCUUCGGUGUUGCCACCUGCCAUUGCAGCGCCGCUGAGCAGACCCAGGGACAACAACAGAAUGGAGGAAUACUUCUUCAUCGAUAACGCCUCAUAGGGAUGACGAGGGCGAAUGUGCCGCCCGCAGGCCGGGCUGGCAACGCAAAUCCGACGAAUAGCACGCAAGCUAACGAUUUAUCUAAGCUGUUGUUUUAGCUAUGAAACUUUGUUCGAAAAGUGAGGUCAUAGGUUACUUGAGAAAAAGCCCCGGCCAUUGCGGUCGGGGCUUUUUCGUUGUUGCGGGGUGCAAGGUGUGCGCUCACUUUGAUGACUCGACUUGUAUCUCUCCAGCUAGCGUCCCGGCGACAUCAAGCAG